GUAAUGUAUAAUUUGUUCUAUAGUUUCAUUGUAACCAUGCACUCUUUCUCAGUGUAAUUCCCCCCUAAUUUGCGGUGUAAUUUCACUGUAAUCGCAUGUAUAAUUACACUAUAAUUUGUGCUGUAGUUGCAGUGUAAUUUCCUCUUAAUUUAGCAGCGUAAAUCCCUCUAUAACUAUUGUGUAGUUUGUCUGUUUUUUCACUGUAAUCCUAUGCAUAUUUACAGUAAGUGGUGUUAAUUUUACAGUGCAAUUUUCACUUCAUUUACAAUGUAAUUUUCUCUUGAUUUAGUGGUGUAAAUUUCUCUAUUAUUACUGCUUAGUUUUACCUGCUUUUACACUGUAAUCCGAUGCAUUUUUACAGUGUAAAUUUACCCGUAUUUACUAAAUAGGUUGUCCUGCUUUUACACUGUAAUCUGAUGCACUCUUACAAUGUAAUGUUACCUUUAAUUACUGUGUAGUUUGGCCUGCUUUUACACUGUAAUCCAAUGUGUUUUUACAGCGUAAAUUUACCCUUAAUUACUGCAUAGUUUGAACUGCUUUAUAUUGUAGUCAGAUGCCUUUUUACAGUGCAAAUUCACCUUAAUUACUGUGUAGUUUGUACUGUAGUUACACUGUAAUCCGAUGCCAUUUUACAGUGUAAAUUUAUAAUUACUGUGUACUUUUUACUGUAGUUACACUGUAAUUCAAUGCCCUUUUUACAGUGUAAUUUUACCCAUAAUUACUGUGUAGUUUGUACUAUAGUUACACUGUAAUCCGAUGCCCUUUUACAGUGUAAUUUACCCAUAAUUGCUGUGUAGUUUGUACUGUAGUUACAUUGUAAUCCUAUGCCCUUUUACUGUGUAUUUUUACCCACAAUUACUGUGUAGUUUGUACGUUACUGUGUAACCCCACAUAUUUUCUUACAGUGUAAUUCCCCAUAAUUGCGCUUCUAGUAUUUUUUUCCCAUAUUCACCACAUUUUUCAGUGCCUAGUUCAUGCUUAUUUUCUUUGUUUUUUUUGUCCUAGUAUUUUCUGUGUAAUCAUCACUAUAAGCCCAGUUUUGUCUUUCGUAUCUAUAUAAUUGAGCUCCAUUUGUUUGUUGUUUUUCAGCUAGUUUCUUAAUGGGUAGACUACGGAAAGUCUAUCCCAAGGAUGUUCCGCUAGUUUCUUCAGUUGAGAGUGCUGACUCUUUGAAAGAUCCUUUCGUGCCUAAUGAUUUUGCUGAUGAUGAUUCUAAUGCUAUGUCUUUGUUAGUUAUUUUUGUAUUCUUAUCUUCUUUCACUUCCCUCUAUUUUUCUAUUUUCAUUUUAUUAAUUUUUGUGCUUGUUGUCUGAUUUUUUUUCCAGGAUUGUUCUGGUGAUGAUGAAGAGUUUGAUAAAGCUCUAUACAAUUUUUAUGUGAAUAAUUCAAUUACCUAAAGAGGAAAUUAUCAUCUGCUAGUAGAAGGAAUGUUGUAAGUCUCUUUUCUCUUCUUGUGUUUUAUUUUCUGUCCCUUCUUCUCUUUUGGUUGCUUGUCUGAUGUUAUCUUCGAUGGGGUUUCCCCUAUGUAUCUUUAGUUUAUUUUGCAUUAUUAAUGUAGUUCUUAUUAUGUUUUUUGUAGAGGCAGGAACGAUCUUCUGAUUUCCCCGUUUGUUCAACAUUCACUAGAUAUUCUGGAUUUUUAGUUCUGUGUUGCACUAUAUCUUUGGUUACCUCAUCAUCUUUAUUUCUCAGCGUAUAAUAAUUGUUGAUAGCUACUUUUUCGUAGUUUAUUAUUUUUCAUUUUACAUUCUUCUAUUUUAAUUUAGUUGUCUCUUAUUAUUUGUUGCAGUGUUGUUUUAUAGUUCUAAAGUUCUUGAAGAAUUGUUCAAACAACUAAAUCUUUUUGAGUGGCUACAAAGGGCUGCCUCCCAGUGAUUAGCUUCCGCUGCUGCCUCUUCGCCUGUUGAAUCAUCUUCAUGCAUUUCUUGCCAUGUCUGCAGAGUAGUUCAACUUAUACUUUGUUAUUUCUGGGCAUUUGUAACUCACAUUUAGUAUGAGGUCUUCUAGUGACAUUGAUAGUAGAUCUUCUCCAGUUAUUGCUCGUUGCUUGCUGCCCCCUGCAAUUAAGUUUGAAGUAAUGUCAGUACAAUUGCAAAAAAAUUGAAGAACAACACUGGUAGAAUUUCUUAGCAACGCCCCGUUUGUUAGUAUUCGUAAUUGUUUUUCAGAUUGUAUAGUGUAUUUGUAUGCAGAGAGGUAACUGAAUUUUCUUCUUUUUUAGUGUAUCCUGAAUUUUUCCUUUUUGAGGAUACUGAAAUGUUGUUUUUAUCUAUUGAAGCUUUCAGUUUUCUCUGAUCAUGGCAAAUAUGCAGCUAGAUACCAACAGAUGUACGCCCAAAUAUAGGAGAAAAUGGAAACGCCGACAAGCAUUAUAGGAUUUCACUAGAUGUAUGUUCUCAGAGGAGUGUUUUUACAAUAUAUUCCUGUUUGAUUUCAUCUUACCAGCACUCAAAACAGAGGUGGAAUAGUUCUGCUGUAGCUUGAGGAGUUGAAGAUUUUCAUGUACCUGCGAUUUGUCUCUGGGAUGAUCUUGUUGUGAUCCCCAAGUGACUGCUUGUGUUCUUCUUCGAGGUGCUUUUGUUCUCGACGAAAAGGAAAGGAUAGUUGGCCGGAUCAGUUAUACUUUUGUUGCUGUUAGUUGCUUGACGGGUCAGAUUUUCAGCCCGACCCAUUUUCUUCGGGAAAAACAUACAUACAUACAUACAAUUGUCGUAGGUUUUUUCAAUAACAGUUAAUAGCUGAUUGGUUGGAAAACUUGAAUGAUAUCUCAUUACAAAUCAGUCGAAUGCCAAAUAGACAGUCCCUA